rnacentral:pre_miRNA from 1 species
AAAAAAACAAACUCUGGGUUUUCAUGUCCAACUUUGACUGUCCGUCUUAUAUGAAAAUUUUUUAUAAUUCAUAUUUUCAUUGUUGUUAGAUGAUAAAACAUAAUUAAUAUUUUAUGCGUGACUUGUCUUUUUAAUUUUUUUUAUAAUUUUUUCAAAUAAGACGGACGAUCGAACGUUGGACACGGAAAUCAAGGUUUGUCUUUUUU